GGAAAAGUAGGGUUAGUUGGAGGAAUUGAGGCACGCACGCAUCCGCAUGCAGCUUUGCGUCUUCUUUGUUUUCUGCGCUGGUUCAAAUCAACUUCCGCCACACGAGUGUUUCUUUCGUUAGUAGAGUGGCGAAGACCAACUCGUGCAGGCUCUGCAUAGCCUUAGGCCCGGAAUAAGCGCAGGCUCCGAAAAAAUCCUAAGUUGUUUCAGGAAAUCGCGUUGGACGUUGCGAUCAAUGCGUCAGCGGGGCUAGGGUGCAUGAUCAGUGCUCUCAGGACCUGAGGAAUACGAGUGAUCGCUGAGACAGCCGCAUGGCUCCGCGUUCUUGGUUCACUGGUGGCUGAAGAGAAUCAGGACGUACGUAUCCGUACUGGUCGGAAGUCACCGGGAUGAUGGCGACUGCAGCUGUUGAGGAUGGAACGACUGAUACUAGAUCCACUAGCGCUACAGCCAACAACAGGUGCAAUGACGAGGGUAGUGCAUCACCGGUUCGCAAGAAGUACCGCCGUUCCACCGUCUUCGUGCUCUGGGUGUUCGGCGACGGCAGCCAUUCCAACCCGUGCGAGCUGCCGAUGAACCGGAGUGUCCGCGUGACAGAUGUAUCGGCCAUGCUGCUAUGUUGACAGGGCUUGCAGUUCUCGCCGUACCACCUGAAAGAGAUGGGCGAAGCUUUCUGCCAGGCGUUGCUCUUGCUCGACCAUCCCGAUGGCCGUGCGUCCGCAUUGCGGGCCGAUUACAUUCUGGCCAGUGCACCGCGUGUGUCUCCGGCGACGUUUGCCACUCCGCAGAGCGACGAAGAGCAACAAGAGCAGAAGGCCGAUGGAAGAA